GACAGAGGGUGCUAGCGUCGUUCGGAAUGACUGGGCGUAAAGGGCGCGUAGGCGGACAUAUUAGUCAGGCGUGAAAGCCCCGGGCUUAACCUGGGAAUAGCGCAUGAAACGGUAUGACUAGAGGACGAGAGAGGAAAGCGGAAUUCCUAGUGUAGAGGUGAAAUUCGUAGAUAUUAGGAGGAACAUCAGAGGCGAAGGCGGCUUUCUGGCUCGGAACUGACGCUGAGGCGCGAAAGCGUGGGGAGCAAACAGG
rnacentral:rRNA from 1 species